UAGGGAAUAUUGGUAGUGGGCGAAAGCCUGAACUAGCAACGCCGCGUGUGCGAAGAAGGCCUUCGGGUUGUAAAGCACUUUUUGAGAGGAUGAGGAAGGACGGUACUCUCAGAAUAAGUCUCGGCUAACUACGUGCCAGCAGCCGCGGUAACACGUAGGAGGCGAACGUUAUCCGGAUUUACUGGGCGUAAAGCGCGUGUAGGUGGUUUGGUAAGUAGGGCGUGAAAGCUCCUGGCUCAACUGGGAGAGGCCGUUCUAAACUGCCGAACUAGAGGAUGGUAGAGGGAGGUGGAAUUCCGGGUGUAGCGGUGGAAUGCGCAGAUAUCCGGAGGAACACUAGUGGCGAAAGCGGCCUCCUGGACCAUUCCUGACACUCAGACGCGAAAGCUAGGGUAGCAAACGG
rnacentral:rRNA from 1 species